UGGGGAAUAUUGCACAAUGGGGGAAACCCUGAUGCAGCAACGCCGCGUGAGUGAUGACGGUCUUCGGAUUGUAAAGCUCUGUCUUCAGGGACGAUAAUGACGGUACCUGAGGAGGAAGCCACGGCUAACUACGUGCCAGCAGCCGCGGUAAUACGUAGGUGGCAAGCGUUGUCCGGAUUUACUGGGCGUAAAGGGAGCGUAGGUGGAUAUUUAAGUGGGAUGUGAAAUACUCGGGCUUAACCUGGGUGCUGCAUUCCAAACUGGAUAUCUAGAGUGCAGGAGAGGAAAGUAGAAUUCCUAGUGUAGCGGUGAAAUGCGUAGAGAUUAGGAAGAAUACCAGUGGCGAAGGCGACUUUCUGGACUGUAACUGACACUGAGGCUCGAAAGCGUGGGGAGCAAA
rnacentral:rRNA from 1 species